rnacentral:ncRNA from 1 species
AAAUAUAUUUUGCUAGUCGUAUAUCUUUGGGGAUAUGGCCCAAAAGUUUCUACCAAGCUGCCAUGAACGGCUUGACUACGAUGAAUG